CUUACCAAAGAGGUAACAAGCAAGGGCUGCAAUGAGGAUGAAGAGAAUCAAUGGUAGUGAUAUUACAAUCACAAAACCCAUUGAUUCAAGUUUUUCUUCAACCCUAAAGGCUUUAAAUUAAUUUCCUUGUUCUGACAACACCAAAAAAUUCAUAAACUGAUGGAUGAUCACCUCGUACUGAAACUGAAACUAAAACAGAACUUUAAUUUCUUCACUCUUUAAACUCUGAAAAAGAACAUUGGAUUUAGG
rnacentral:misc_RNA from 1 species